rnacentral:tRNA from 1 species
UCCCAUAUGGUGUAGUGGUCAGCAUAUCAGGCUUUCACCCUGAAGUCCCGGGUUCAAUUCCCGGUGUGGGAA